CUUGGUCCCUGGGGAAAGAAGCCUCGCAACUUCCCCAUGACCCAA
rfam:Simian immunodeficiency virus isolate SIVsmTAI33 gag protein (gag) gene, partial cds.